CAAAGAGUGGCUCAUUUCCUUUCAUACAUUUUCUUAUUUUCCCCUCCGUCAUCCUGAUUUAUUUAGCAAAUAUUGGACAGCCUGGAUUUUAUUGUGUCUGAAGUUAUUUGGUUAACAGACAGCUUCAGACCAGAGUAUUCGCCUUACAAAAAUAACACACACCUGUAUUUAUAUUCAGACUAAGAAUGGGACAUCAGCGAUAACAAGUUCUGUAGACCUUACCCCAGCAAAGUCUCCAUUAGAAACAUUCAAAGAUUUUACUGAGGAAUCCGCUGAUACAGUUCCUUAUUCCUUUAACAAUAUUCUGGAUGGAGCUGACCUUGAAACCAACGCAAUGCUGUGGAUGCAUUAUCGGUAUUAUCAAUGCUAUCAGCAUUAUCAGCAGAUGUCCCCAAGACACCGAAAUCUGACUUAGAACCAAAAGAUUGAGACAGCUGACAGGGAAAGAUUGAAGGCAAACGAGGUCCAGGCAGAAGAAGAACAUCAUGGCUUCAAAACCUAAGGGACUGGUUUGGACAAAACACAGCAGCAUUUUUUCAUGUGGCUGUUGACAAAAAUAGGAUUGCCAACAUGAUCGCCAACGUCCAAUGAUGGAUAUGGUACAAGAAGAAGAAGAAAAAGAAUGUUGUCUAUUCUGAAGAGCAAUAUCUCUCCAAGAAAGUGGGCAGAAUAUUCUAUUAUUCCUCGAUCCUAAAGUCAUUUAAAAGUAGAAUUAGGAAUAGUGACAAAGGGUAUCUAUAUCAAAAAUUCACACUCUAUAACCUAUCUUUCUACUACUCCAGGCUUUAGGAUAUGAACUCAGAAUUUCUCCAUGGUUGUUUCUGACCAGACAUUUUUAUCUAAUUUCUUUCAUGCUGACUUUGUCUGUUGUUAACCUAGGCAACUUGUUCUACCUCAGAGUAAAUACUAUUCCACUUAAAAUAUAU